GGAUACUGUAAAACAUUUUGAAGGGGAUAAAUGUCCAAAAUAUGAGUUUUGCUGGAUAUCUCUUCAAGCUUUUUCUUAAAAAAAAAAAAAAAAAAAAAAAAUUAGAAGUGAUUAAAGUUUGUUUCCUAUUGAUAGCAAAUAACAUCAAAUAUAGAAGAAGCACAUACAUUUCUUAGAGGACACACAAGAACUGUAUAAAUGACAAUUUGUACUUUACAAACUGCUUUGACAUAUUAAAAUAAAACAUAUUUUUAGGAAACUUCUGUGUCAAAAUCAUAGUAUAGGAAAAUGCAGUCUAGUACUAGUAUUAUUAAUACGCAUGCUGUUGUAUUAUGAAUGUCUUAGAGCUAUUCAAAUACAGCAUUUACAUUGAAAAUUGCUACCUUGUUGCUCUCAAAGCUGCUGCUUAUCUUCUAUCUACUAAAGUGUAGGCAUUUCAUAGGUAGGGUGAUAGUUACAUGUCUUUGAGCAAGAAUUGCUGUUAAUGCUGUCUCUAAACGAGCAGAAUUUCUGUCAUUCACUCAGAAAAGGUUCUGGCAGCAUUAUUAUCAAGUGUAAACCUCCUACUGAUUUCAAAGAAGACAGUUUUUGUGUUUUUUUCAUUAGAAAAGUGAAGAAAGAAAAAAGGCUAAGGCUCUUCCUUAGCAAUAAAUUUCCCUCUUAAGCAGUACGUAUUCUCCAUUAAUUCCAAAGCACUUUAUACAAAAGACAGAAUCAUUACCUUAAAUUUGCAGGUUGUGAAUCUGAGGCACAAAGAGAAGAAGAGCUCAUAAAUUACCCAGCAGUGACAGACUCAGGAAGAAAAGCAGAUCUCUCCAGUCCCACUCAAGUGCUGUCUGCCUUUGCUCAGACUGCCUCUUCAGAUUCUUAGUUUCCAAAAUAUAUAAAGAAGCUCGGUAUAGCUUAUAUGGCUGAGUGUAUCUUCUUCUUAGUGUGCCAGUAAAUCAAACACUAUUUCAGAUCAGGGAUGCAAAACUACCUUUAGUACGUAUUUUCUACAUGUUUAUACAUAUACUCUGUUUGUAAGCAGAUAUACAUAUCUUCACUGCACUGGAAUCCACUAGCAGAACUGGAAAGUCAAAAGAUCGACCACACUCGGGAGUGGUGAGUCAUACAGAGGGAUUAACAUUACAGAGACCUCCCACUGACAUUAACAGACUGGUGCCUACUGGCACUGUGCUUGGUCCACUCCUAAGUGGUCAGCAUGGAGUAACUAUAGAAGCAGAAAGAAGACAAGGCUAUGUAAAGAAACAGUCCUUUUAGAAUUACUACUUUAACUGGAGGAAUUAUUUGUAUGAUGAAGAACCUUGCAGAAGUAGAAUACAGGAGAUCUGAAUUAGACUCAAAAUGUUAUGACUACAUGAGGACACCCGCUUCCAUUUCUGCCCCUCCAUCUGGAAUGUAAUUGUCAAUGUUCAAAUCAUACAACACUUCAUAUAUUACCACAUGACAUCAUUUCUGGAGUCACAAAAAGGUAUUACUUCUCAUUCUGUUGAUGAAGCAUCACCUGCUGGAAACAGGAAAAGAAAGAAAUCCAGGAACACAGCUUAUCAAGAAGGAGCAAGAAGCAGGUGACACACACUCAGAACAAUACAGCCUUCGAGAGUUAUAUAUGGAAGAAUAAAAUCUUUAUACAUGAGUAUAUCAAGCAUAAAUCAAGAAUGAAAUCUCCUAUGUGAUCACAUGUUCUAGCCUUUCAACACUAUGUUUUAGGAAGCCUAUUUUACAGAAUUUUCUGGCUACUCCUGUCUCGACUCUCAGGCUUUUAUUCAGAUGCAUUCUGGAAGAUGAGCUCAGACCACUGGAAUUUUGGAAAAUCUUUCACAUCAAUUAUUACUCCUCAAAUCUGAGUGUAAUUUUUAACUGGAGAAGUUAAUUGCUCAGUGCUGCAAUUACUGGCACAUACAGGCUUGGAACCAAACUAAUCCAUCCUACAUGCAUUUUUUUUUUUUUUUUUUUUUUCUUCAAAUCCUAAAGAAAUGAGGGGGAAAAAGAACACCCUGAAGGCACAGUUGAAAAUUGGAGUUGUCAAAAUGAAAAGCAUUAAUUUUCUAAAGAUCUUUUAAUUCUUCUCAUGUUUUCCAGGAUGAACCCUAAGCCCAUUUUCCUGUUGCCUUUAUUUGCUGAUUAAAUGCAGACUGCAGAGCGAUGCUGAAA